ACGAUGGGUUUAUUGCGGGGAGGGGGCAGCCCUAUCGUAAGUAGAGGAACUCUAUACACGUUUGAAAAUAUCGCUGGGCUCCAGGGUUAGCCGGUCUCUAACCCAUUCUUUACUGGACCUGCCAACUUCGCGCAGGGUUGGUAACCUAGCAACCAAGCAACACGAGCAGUGACUUCCGGUACCCGGACUUGGGUUGUCCAAUCAGCUCAGCGGAGCCGCCGCAGAGGCUGAUGGGGGGCUGGAGCGAAUGAGGCUUCCAGCGUCGGUACCAUGGCGACGCGCGGUGGGGCUGGGGUGGCAAUGGCGGCUUGGUCCCUCUUAUACGCCCGGGCCGUGACCACGUUCCUUCUGUUGUUCCUCCUUCGCUUCUUACAGGCCCAGACCUUCUCUUUCCCUUUCCAGCAGCCGGAGAAGUGCGACAACAACCAGUACUUUGAUAUCUCCGCUCUCUCGUGUGUUCCGUGUGGAGCUAACCAGAGUCAAGAUGCCCGAGGAACUUCAUGUGUAUGUCUACCAGGAUUUCAGAUGAUCUCUAAUAAUGGAGGACCUGCUAUUAUUUGUAAAAAGUGCCCAGAAAACAUGAAAGGUGUUACAGAAGAUGGCUGGAACUGCAUUUCUUGCCCUAGUGGCUUAACUGCUGAAGGAAAAUGUCACUGUCCCACUGGCCAUAUUUUAGUGGAAAGAGACGUUAAUGGAACAUUGUUGUCUCAAGCAACUUGUGAGCUCUGUGAUGGAAAUGAAAACUCUUUUAUGGUAGCAAAUGCUUUAGGAGACAGGUGCGUCCGAUGUGAGCCAACAUUUGUUCAUACCAGCAGGUCCUGUGCAUGUUCAGAACCUAACAUUUUAACAGGGGGAUUAUGUUUCAGCAGCACAGGGAAUUUUCCUCUACGUAGAAUUUCAACUGCACGUUAUGGAGAAGUUGGCAUGUCUUUAACUUCAGAAUGGUUUGCAAAGUAUUUGCAAUCAUCAGCAGCUGCAUGUUGGGUAUAUGCCAAUCUAACAUCUUGUCAAGCUCUUGGAAAUAUGUGUGUGAUGAACAUGAAUUCUUACGACUUUGCCACAUUUGAUGCAUGUCGACUAUUUCAGUUUAUCUUUGAAAAUACUGCUGGGCUGAGCACUGUUCAUUCUAUUUUAUUUUGGAGACAGAAUCUUCCUUGGCUGUUUUAUGGAGACCAGUUAGGAUUAGCACCUCAAGUGCUCAGUUCUACCUCUCUUCCUACAAAUUUCAGUUUUAAAGGAGAAAACCAGAAUACAAAACUGAAGUUUGUUGCUGCUUCCUAUGAUAUAAGAGGAAAUUUUCUCAAGUGGCAAACUUUAGAAGGAGGUGUUUUACAGCUUUGUCCAGACACAGAGACAAGGCUAAAUGCUGCUUAUUCAUUUGGAACAACCUACCAACAAAAUUGUGAGAUUCCUAUCUCUAAGAUCUUAAUUGACUUUCCCACUCCUAUAUUUUAUGAUGUGUACCUUGAAUAUACUGAUGAAAAUCAACAUCAACAUAUUUUGGCUGUGCCUGUGUUAAACCUAAAUCUUCAACACAAUAAGAUAUUUGUGAACCAAGACAGCAACUCUGGAAAGUGGCUUCUAACUCGGCGCAUUUUCUUAGUGGAUGCAGUAAGUGGACGAGAAAAUGACUUAGGAAGUCAGCCAAGAGUAAUUCGAGUUGCUACUCAAAUAUCACUGAGCGUCCACCUUGUACCCAACACAAUAAAUGGAAACAUCUACCCUCCCUUAAUCACCAUUGCCUACAGUGACAUUGAUAUCAAAGAUGCCAACAGCCAGUCUGUGAAGGUUUCUUUCUCAGUCACAUAUGAAAUGGAUCAUGGAGAAGCACAUGUCCAGACAGAUAUUGCUUUGGGUGUAUUGGGUGGGCUAGCUGUUUUAGCAUCUCUUUUGAAGACAGCAGGAUGGAAGAGGCGCAUUGGGAGUCCCAUGAUUGAUUUACAGACAGUUAUGAAAUUCUUGGUGUACUAUGCUGGUGAUCUGGCCAAUGUUUUCUUUAUCAUCACAGUGGGAACAGGUCUUUACUGGCUUAUUUUCUUCAAAGCACAGAAGUCUGUCUCUGUUUUACUGCCAAUGCCAGUUCAGGAAGAACGUUUUGUCACUUACGUUGGAUGUGCCUUUGCUCUGAAGGCGCUACAAUUUUUGCAUAAGCUCAUAUCCCAGAUUACAAUAGAUAUAUUCUUUAUUGAUUGGGAGCGACCUAAAGGAAAGGUUCUUAAAGCUGUUGAAGGUGAGGGUGGUGUACGAAGUGCCACUGUUCCUGUAAGCAUAUGGAGAACAUAUUUUAUAGCAAAUGAAUGGAAUGAAAUUCAGACUGUGAGAAAAAUUAAUUCACUCUUUCAAGUACUUACUGUCCUCUUCUUUUUGGAGGUUGUGGGAUUCAAGAACUUAGCAUUAAUGGACUCAUCUUCCAGUCUUUCUAGAAGCCCACCUAGCUACAUAGCUCCUUAUAGCCGCAUUUUGAGAUAUGCAGUGUCUGCUGCUCUUUGGCUAGCCAUUGGAAUUAUACAGGUCAUGUUCUUUGCUGUCUUUUAUGAGAGAUUUAUAGAAGAUAAAAUUCGACAGUUUGUUGAUUUGUGCUCUAUGAGUAAUAUAUCAGUGUUUCUGCUAUCCCACAAAUGUUUUGGAUAUUACAUUCAUGGUAGAUCAGUACAUGGGCAUGCAGAUACUAAUAUGGAAGAAAUGAAUAUGAACCUUAAAAGAGAAGCGGAAAAUUUGUGUAGCCAGAGAGGUUUGGUACCCAACACAGAUGGUCAGACUUUUGAGAUUGCGAUUUCUAACCAGAUGAGACAACAUUAUGACAGAAUUCAUGAGACACUAAUAAGGAAAAAUGGUCCUGCUAGACUAUUGAGUUCAUCAGCAAGUACUUUUGAGCAGAGUAUAAAAGCAUAUCAUAUGAUGAAUAAAUUUCUUGGCUCCUUCAUUGACCAUGUUCAUAAGGAAAUGGAUUACUUUAUAAAAGAUAAGUUGCUUCUUGAAAGAAUUCUUGGAAUGGAAUUCAUGGAACCAAUGGAAAAAAGCAUCUUUUACAAUGAUGAAGGUUAUUCUUUCAGCAGUGUCCUGUAUUAUGGAAAUGAAGCUACCCUUCUUAUUUUUGAUCUGCUGUUCUUCUGUGUUGUGGAUUUGGCUUGCCAAAAUUUUAUUUUAGCAUCCUUCCUUACAUAUCUACAACAAGAGAUUUUUAGAUAUAUCCGUAAUACAGUAGGACAAAAGAAUUUGGCAUCCAAAACAUUGGUGGAUCAAAGAUUUUUGAUUUAACUUCCUGAAUAAAUAACUUAAAGACUCAAUAUAAUCAUGGCCAAAAAAAAGUCAUGAUAUCAGCAUUUAGGAAUAUAACAUUAUUGGGGCAGAGGUCCCAGCCAUUGCCAAAGUUGAAUCUUUUACAUUUCCGUGAAUCUUGAGGAUGACUGAAAAGGAAGUCUUUGAAAUUGCAGUUUCUGAAGGAUCACAGUACAGGAAUGCCUUUAUAAAAGCUGCAGAGAUAAAUACAUGUACUGGCAUGGAUAUUUAAAACCACUCACUCAGAAGCAUAUGAAAGAAAUUCAACCAUCAUUCAACAUAGAAGAAGUUAAUUUUAGUGCAAAUGUUUUUAAGUAUUAAAUUUCACAAUAAAGGAUCAGUUGGCUUACUUGCUGAUAAAUUAAAACAGAGAAAACAUUUGAAAUCAUUCUAAAUUAAUUUUGUAUGAUAUUUUUAUUUUGGUUAGGUGCAUAAAAAUGUGUUCAGAUUUUCAUACACUGUCGACUCCUUUGUUCACAUUGUCACAAUUUACAUUUCCUGAUCAUGUGCAUAAUUAUUCACUAGAUUCAUUACCCUUUGUCUAUUUCUGUAGUACCUAAUCACUAUACUUUGACUCUUAUAUCCCUGAUUUUACUGAUUUUCUAGAAACAUUUGAUGUCUCUUCAUUUCAUAAUGAAACAAAACCUAGAGAGGUUCUUUAUAAGCUGUUGUGUACUUUGUAUGCUGCUUAGAAACGUACAGGCCCCUAAAAUACUUCUGUAGACCAGUGCCUCUGUUAUGGGAGAUUUGUAAAUGCUUCCUUCUCUGGCAUUGCUGUCCUAACUGCCUUUUCAGAAGGUUUUGCUGAUUACCUACAUUGAGGAACGAUCAAAAUGAUCAUUAAUUCAGCGCUUGCAAGCAUGAAGCAUGUAUUUUUUUGGUAAAUAUUGACAAAUAUAAGCUGAGGGGAAAUAAAUGUAAGUCAAGGAGCAGUGAGCAGUGUGGCUUAAUGGAAAGUGCUCCAAAUUUAGCAAAAGAAGCCCUGGAUUCAAAUUAGAAUUUUGCCCAUCACUUACAAGCUUUGGUAUCUUGAACUAAGUCAUUUGCCAUCAUUGAGCUUCAUUCUACAUCUCUGCAAUGAAAAUAAUAUCCUUUGCUUACCACUUGUAAGGAUUAGUUUCGUGUAUGUGUGUGUGAGACAGAGAGAGAGAGAUGGGGUCUCACUCUUGUCACCCAGGUUGGAAUGCAGUGGCACGAUUUUGGCCCACUCUAACCUCCGCCUCCUAGGCUCAAGCAGUCCUCCACCUCAGCCUCCCAAGUAGCUGGAACAACAGGUGUGCGCCACCACGCCCAGCUAAUUUUUUGUAUUUUUUUUGUAGAGACAAGGCUUCACCAUGUUGCCCAGGCUGGUCUUGAACUCCUGAUCAAGAGAUUCACCCACCUCGGCCUCCAAAAGUUCUGGGAUUACAGGUGUGAGCCACUACACCUGGCCAGGAUUAGUUUCUUAAAAUGUGCUUUUAACAUUGAGUAAACUAUGAAUGCUGGAAUUUUUAUUUUUAGUUUAAAAUAUCUGCCCCAAAAUAUAUUUUUUAUCUUGCUAAUAAAUUAAUAAUAUGAUAUUAAAA